ACGAACGCUGGCGGCGUGCCUAAUACAUGCAAGUAGAACGCUGAAGAGAGGAGCUUGCUCUUCUUGGAUGAGUUGCGAACGGGUGAGUAACGCGUAGGUAACCUGCCUUGUAGCGGGGGAUAACUAUUGGAAACGAUAGCUAAUACCGCAUAACAAUGGAUGACACAUGUCAUUUAUUUGAAAGGGGCAAUUGUUCCACUACAAGAUGGACCUGCGUUGUAUUAGCUAGUAGGUGAGGUAAUGGCUCACCUAGGCGACGAUACAUAGCCGACCUGAGAGGGUUAUCGGCCACACUGGGACUGAGACACGGCCCAGACUCCUACGGGAGGCAGCAGUAGGGAAUCUUCGGCAAUGGGGGCAACCCUGACCGAGCAACGCCGCGUGAGUGAAGAAGGUUUUCGGAUCGUAAAGCUCUGUUGUAAGUCAAGAACGGGUGUGAGAGUGGAAAGUUCACACUGUGACGGUAGCUUACCAGAAAGGGACGGCUAACUACGUGCCAGCAGCCGCGGUAAUACGUAGGUCCCGAGCGUUGUCCGGAUUUAUUGGGCGUAAAGCGAGCGCAGGCGGUUUGAUAAGUCUGAAGUUAAAGGCUGUGGCUCAACCAUAGUUCGCUUUGGAAACUGUCAAACUUGAGUGCAGAAGGGGAGAGUGGAAUUCCAUGUGUAGCGGUGAAAUGCGUAGAUAUAUGGAGGAACACCGGUGGCGAAAGCGGCUCUCUGGUCUGUAACUGACGCUGAGGCUCGAAAGCGUGGGGAGCGAACAGGAUUAGAUACCCUGGUAGUCCACGCCGUAAACGAUGAGUGCUAGGUGUUGGAUCCUUUCCGGGAUUCAGUGCCGCAGCUAACGCAUUAAGCACUCCGCCUGGGGAGUACGACCGCAAGGUUGAAACUCAAAGGAAUUGACGGGGGCCCGCACAAGCGGUGGAGCAUGUGGUUUAAUUCGAAGCAACGCGAAGAACCUUACCAGGUCUUGACAUCCCGAUGCUAUUUCUAGAGAUAGAAAGUUACUUCGGUACAUCGGUGACAGGUGGUGCAUGGUUGUCGUCAGCUCGUGUCGUGAGAUGUUGGGUUAAGUCCCGCAACGAGCGCAACCCCUAUUGUUAGUUGCCAUCAUUCAGUUGGGCACUCUAGCGAGACUGCCGGUAAUAAACCGGAGGAAGGUGGGGAUGACGUCAAAUCAUCAUGCCCCUUAUGACCUGGGCUACACACGUGCUACAAUGGUUGGUACAACGAGUUGCGAGUCGGUGACGGCGAGCUAAUCUCUUAAAGCCAAUCUCAGUUCGGAUUGUAGGCUGCAACUCGCCUACAUGAAGUCGGAAUCGCUAGUAAUCGCGGAUCAGCACGCCGCGGUGAAUACGUUCCCGGGCCUUGUACACACCGCCCGUCACACCACGAGAGUUUGUAACACCCGAAGUCGGUGAGGUAACCUUUUGGAGCCAGCCGCCUAAGGUGGGACAGAUGAUUGGGGUG
rnacentral:rRNA from 1 species